GAUGAACGCUAGCUACAGGCUUAACACAUGCAAGUCGAGGGGAAACGACAUCGAAAGCUUGCUUUUGAUGGGCGUCGACCGGCGCACGGGUGAGUAACGCGUAUCCAACCUGCCCAUCACUUGGGAAUAACCUUGCGAAAGUAAGACUAAUACCCAAUGACAUCCCACGAAGACAUCUGAAUGGGAUUAAAGAUUUAUCGGUGAUGGAUGGGGAUGCGUCUGAUUAGCUUGUUGGCGGGGUAACGGCCCACCAAGGCAACGAUCAGUAGGGGUUCUGAGAGGAAGGUCCCCCACAUUGGAACUGAGACACGGUCCAAACUCCUACGGGAGGCAGCAGUGAGGAAUAUUGAUCAAUGGGCGAGAGCCUGAACCAGCCAAGUAGCGUGCAGGAUGACGGCCCUAUGGGUUGUAAACUGCUUUUAUAAGGGAAUAAAGUGGGUCUCGUGAGACUUUUUGCAUGUACCUUAUGAAUAAGGACCGGCUAAUUCCGUG
rnacentral:rRNA from 1 species